rnacentral:misc_RNA from 1 species
UACUCCUACCAUAUGGUUAUGUGUUGAACAUUUCGUACACUGUCUUACCUCUUAAAGAACAGGGUAGAUGAGGACCAUAACUUUGAAGAUUAGUUGGAUUUUUUCUAUAAAAUAUGAUAGAUUUGUUGUGUGGUUGAAGUGCUGAACCCAUCUCACCAUGUUCUACAACUAUUUCAUGUCAAUAUAGACCUUGGCAAUGAUUAACUAAUGAAUAACUUGUACAUCCUUAAAAUAUUCUACAUAUGUGAUUCUUCAUGGAUACUGAAAUGUGUAUUGCAAAUCUUCAUCAAUUCUUCAUAAAGAAUUUGGAAACAUCAGUGCUUUUUAUUGUUUUCAUUGCUGUUUGGAUUGAGUUCUUGUAGAUGUUUAAAUUAAGCAUGUCAUUGUUUU